ensembl:lncRNA
AAAAGCCAUACAGAGAGACUGUCCUGCAAAGCCUCUGCACCCUACCUCCACAGGCUUGAGGCCACUAUUUCCUUCUCUUCUCGGACUGUCUAGCUGACUGUGAGUCUCUCUAGUAGUCAACAACCCUUCUUGGUUGUCAACCAGCCUAUAAUUGAUUACUUC